rnacentral:rRNA from 1 species
UAGUCCACGCUGUAAACGAUGUCUACUUGGAGGUUGUUGUCUUGAAUGAUGGCUUUCGGAGCUAACGCGUUAAGUAGACCGCCUGGGGAGUACGGCCGCAAGGUUAAAACUCAAAUGAAUUGACGGGGGCCCGCACAAGCGGUGGAGCAUGUGGUUUAAUUCGAUGCAACGCGAAGAACCUUACCUACUCUUGACAUCUACAGAAGCCAGCGGAGACGCAGGUGUGCCUUCGGGAACUGUAAGACAGGUGCUGCAUGGCUGUCGUCAGCUCGUGUUGUGAAAUGUUGGGUAAGUCCCGUAACGAGCGAAACCCUUGUUUUAGUUGCCAGCGGGUAAUGCCGGGGACUCUAGAAAGACUGCCUGUUUCAAGCAGGAGGAAGGUGGGGAUGACGUCAAGUCCUCAUGGCCUUUAUGACCGGGGCUACACACGUACUACAAUGGACAGCACAAAGGGUAGCCAAGCAGCAAUGUGGAGCCAAUCCCAAAAAACUGUUACUCAGUUCGGA